rnacentral:tRNA from 1 species
GGGGAUAUAGCUCAGAGGUAGAGCACUUGCCUAACAUGUGUGAGGCCUUGGGUUCAAUUCCUUAUAUUGCAA